rnacentral:tRNA from 1 species
CGCUGGGUAGAGUAAUUGGUCAACUCAUCGGGCUAAUGACCCGAGGCAGGUUCGAAUCCAGUCUCAGCAAA